UCGGAUGCUGACGAGUGGCGAACGGGUGAGUAAUACAUCGGAACGUACCUUAUCGUGGGGGAUAACGCAGCGAAAGCUGUGCUAAUACCGCAUACGACCUAUGGAUGAAAGCGGGGGACCUUCGGGCCUCGCGCGAUUGGAGCGGCCGAUGUUAGAUUAGGUAGUUGGUGAGGUAAAGGCUCACCAAGCCUACGAUCUAUAGCUGGUCUGAGAGGACGACCAGCCACACUGGAACUGAGAUACGGCCCAGACUCC
rnacentral:rRNA from 1 species